AUUGAACGCUGGCGGCAUGCCUUACACAUGCAAGUCGAACGGUAACAGGUCUUCGGAUGCUGACGAGUGGCGAACGGGUGAGUAAUACAUCGGAACGUGCCUAGUAGUGGGGGAUAACUACUCGAAAGAGUGGCUAAUACCGCCUGAGAUCUAAGGAUGAAAGCAGGGGAGCGCAAGACCUUGUGCUACUACAGCGGCCGAUGGCAGAUUAGGUAGUUGGUGGGGUAAAAGCUGACCAAGCCGACGAUCUGUAGCUGGUCUGAGAGGACGAUCAGCCACACUGGGACUGAGACACGGCCCAGACUCCUACGGGAGGCAGCAGUGGGGAAUUUUGGACAAUGGGCGCAAGCCUGAUCCAGCAAUGCCGCGUGCAGGAUGAAGGCCUUCGGGUUGUAAACUGCUUUUGUACGGAACGAAAAGCCCUGGGUUAAUACCCUGGGGUCACGACGGUACCGUAAGAAUAAGCACCGGCUAACUACGUGCCAGCCGCCGCCGUAA
rnacentral:rRNA from 1 species